rnacentral:rRNA from 1 species
UACAGAGGUCCCGAGCGUUGUUCGGAUUCACUGGGCGUAAAGGGUGCGUAGGUGGUGAGGUAAGUCGGAUGUGAAAGCUCCAAGCUCAACUUGGAAAUGGCAUUGGAAACUACCUUGCUAGAGGGUUUGAGGGGGGACUGGAAUACUUGGUGUAGCAGUGAAAUGCGUAGAUAUCAAGUGGAACACCAGUGGCGAAGGCGAGUCCCUGGAAAACUCCUGACACUGA